GCUAUAUUGGCUAAUGACGACCUAACUUGCUUUUUUGGCUUGGUUUGUGGUCUUAGUCGGUGUGGUUUCGGGGAUGUUAACCGUAAAGGUGCAUGAGUGGUGUUUGGAAUGUUACGGGUGGUUGGCUCCUUGCUUGCGCAACCAACUUCCACCUGGCAUUCCUUUUCAUUUUUGCUUCAAUGCUUGUCUUGCAUUGAUUGCACGAAGGGUUUCUUGUGUUGCAUGCCUAAGUGAUGGUAUCGUUGGAUGAAUCGAUGACAGUCUUCGUCUUGUGUUCCUCAUGUGAUGCAAGAUGAACCAUAAAGCAGGCUUUGUGAUCCACCCUUUUUUUGCACACGCAUUGAUUUUGUGGCUCACUGAGUGUUUGCUUGGUCUCAUGGAUAUGGAAACUUUGUUGGGCAUGUACAUGAUCUGUUACUAGCUCAUUGUGUUUUGCCCUAGUUAAAGCUUCUUCAAAUACGAUUUUCUAUCAUGUGCUAGCAUGGUAGGAUAUAUCGAUUAUGAAUGCUACCUGG
rnacentral:misc_RNA from 1 species